UAGCCAUGAUGUGGGCAAGCACUUAAAAGAUCCUUAAACCUCUCCCAACAUUGGAAGAAGGUUUCUUCCUCCUUCUGCGAAAAAUUCAUGAUGGCCCUUCUAAGGGU